rnacentral:rRNA from 1 species
GUGGGGAAUAUUGCACAAUGGGGGAAACCCUGAUGCAGCAACGCCGCGUGAGUGAUGAAGGCCUUCGGGUUGUAAAGCUCUGUCUUCAGGGACGAUAAUGACGGUACCUGAGGAGGAAGCCACGGCUAACUACGUGCCAGCAGCCGCGGUAAUACGUAGGUGGCAAGCGUUGUCCGGAUUUACUGGGCGUAAAGGGAGCGUAGGCGGACUUUUAAGUGAGAUGUGAAAUACCCGGGCUUAACCUGGGUGCUGCAUUUCAAACUGGAAGUCUAGAGUGCAGGAGAGGAGAAUGGAAUUCCUAGUGUAGCGGUGAAAUGCGUAGAGAUUAGGAAGAACACCAGUGGCGAAGGCGACUCUCUGGACUGUAACUGACGCUGAGGCUCGAAAGCGUGGGGAGCAAACAGGAUUAGAAACCCGUGUAGUCC